rnacentral:rRNA from 1 species
GAUGAACGCUGGCGGCGUGCCUAAUACAUGCAAGUCGAGCGAACAGAUGAGGAGCUUGCUCCUCUGACGUUAGCGGCGGACGGGUGAGUAACACGUGGAUAACCUACCUAUAAGACUGGGAUAACUACGGGAAACCGGAGCUAAUACCGGAUAAUAUAUUGAACCGCAUGGUUCAAUAGUGAAAGACGGUUUUGCUGUCACUUAUAGAUGGAUCCGCGCCGCAUUAGCUAGUUGGUAAGGUAACGGCUUACCAAGGCAACGAUGCGUAGCCGAUCUGAGAGGGUGAUCGGCCACACUGGAACUGAGACACGGUCCAGACUCCUACGGGAGGCAGCAGUAGGGAAUCUUCCGCAAUGGGCGAAAGCCUGACGGAGCAACGCCGCGUGAGUGAUGAAGGUCUUCGGAUCGUAAAACUCUGUUAUUAGGGAAGAACAAAUGUGUAAGUAACUAUGCACGUCUUGACGGUACCUAAUCAGAAAGCCACGGCUAACUACGUG